AAUAUUGAAAUUCUCACCUACAAUGUGAUGCUAUCAAAAGGUGAGGUCUUCGGGAGAAGUUUACUUCUUACUGGGUGGAGACACUUGGCAUUUGUAAAUGAGAAUACCAAUUUGAAGGAAGAUAAGAAAAAGAACAAAACCUCCUAGCAUAAACAGAGAUUGCUGGUGAGACAGCAGCCACUGCUCCCAGGCCCGACAACAGGGGCAGCACCAAAGCUGGUCAGUGUUUCCUCCUUACAGGUCUGAAGGUGCUGCAGAGGAGGGUGCUUCCCAGAGAUCACCCCUGUGACAGACAGAUCGAUUGAAGGACCCCUGAAUGGCUGAAUUGAGAAGAACAAGCAUAUUAGGAGGCCAUACAAUGGGAGCCUCUCAGGCAGACAGACAAAGCCGUGGAAACUGCAGACUUAUUUGUAUGUUCUGGUAAACACCUUUGCUUCAUUUUCCCCGUCUCCGCCUGGACUGAGGGUCACCUCACCUCUCCUGGUGUCCAGAGCCUCCUUCAGGACAGAUGUUGCAAACCUGAGUUCUCACAAACAGCGGGGUCCAGCCC
rnacentral:lncRNA from 1 species